GACGAACCGGACAAACGUUAUUCGGAAUCACUGGGCUUAAAGGGUGCGUAGGCGGCGCGGCAAGUUGGGUGUGAAAUCCCUCGGCUCAACCGAGGAAUAGCGCCCAAAACUGCCGUGCUCGAGGGAGACAGAGGUGAGUGGAACUUAGGGUGGAGCGGUGAAAUGCGUUGAUAUCCUAAGGAACUCCGGUGGCGAAAGCGACUCACUGGGUCUCUUCUGACGCUGAGGAACGAAAGCUAGGGGAGCGAACGGG
rnacentral:rRNA from 1 species